AGGAGAAUUAGAAGGCUUAGAGAUGGAAAAUUCGGAGAAGAAAAGAAUUAUGUCUUCAGAUUUCUGGAGGGGCUAGCUGGUGACUACGAGUCCAGAGAACAUUCACCACGACAUUCAUUAGAAGGGAGGAGUGAAAGGUGUCCACCAGAGCAUCUUCUGAUUCUCCUCAGAGCCCUGUGUGUGAGUUAUAUAAGUCCUCAGGAGCCUGCAGGCCUGGAGCAAAGUCAUGCUACAGGAAGAGAACUACUGACAAUAGCAUCCUGGUACUCCAGGGACCUAAGAGAGACUGCCCGAGACACACUGCUCCAAGGCUGGUGGAAGCUGGAAGUGAACAAGAAAGGUAGCGACUGUGAUAGGACAAGAGGAACCACAGACUGCAAGGAGGACAGGAAGUGCACAGAGCCACCACAAGGUAAUCCUGCAAGCCACUAAGGGAGAUGCCCACAUCCAUGGAGAGUCACCAUGUGAGUCCUGCAGAGGAAGGGACUGUUAUCAGCUGUGCUAGGUGCUAUCUCAGUGUACCCAGGGCAAGCAGGCCAGGUGUCCCAAUGUUUUAAGAUCUUCGUGACUUUCACCAUUGAGCGUUUACUCUUAACACGGCCCACUUACCUUUAAACACUUGCUACAUGUCAGGUAUUAUGGGAUACAAGCCAGGAGGAGCAGUGGUGCAUGCCUGUAAGCUCCAGCAUUUGGAAGGUAGCGACAGGAGGAUGGAAGGUCGAGCUCAUCAUUGGCUACCUAUGGAGCUCUGGGAUAGCCUGUGCUAAAGAAGACCUUGUUCCUCAGCAUAAGCCAAAGAAAACAAGAAAAGAAAAACUCAGAAAACAGAAAAGAAAAUGAACCACAACCUGUGGCCUUUUUUUUUUUUGCAGGCAUGAGGUAGGUAAAAGAAGCAAUUACAAGCUAGGGAUGGUGGCGCAUGCCUGUGAUCCCAGCACUCAAGAGGCAGAGGCUGGUGGAUCUCUGUGAGUUCAAAGCUAGCCUGCUCUAGAUAUCGAGUUCUAGGCUACCCGAAGAUACAAAGUGAGAUCCAAAGAAGAGGAAAGAGAUACGCAGGAAGAGGGAGAGGAAGCAGCGGCUAUUACAGGCCAGGUCAGCCGUAGUGACAUGUCUGGAGGAUGAAGCAAGGGAUGUUUGAGGGCACCCUGAAUGACAUCAUAAGAGUCCUCAGAAAGCAGAAACAAGUCAAAGGGAUGGUUAUUUCUAUGGAAAGAGAGUCAAAGGCAGAUGGUCCGCAGCAUACAAAAAGAAAGUACUUCUAGCUUGGACAUCUGUAACUGAGUGAGACCUAUCCUCUGAGACCCAGCUGGGGCUGGCUAGUGGCUUGCUCCACAUCCC
rnacentral:lncRNA from 1 species